rnacentral:tRNA from 1 species
GGUCGCUUAGCUCAGUUGGUUAGAGCGUGGUGCUAAUAAUCGUAUGACACGCCAAGGUCGCGAGUUCGACCGUACGUUCA